rnacentral:rRNA from 1 species
UUCUGUAAGCCUGUGAAGGUGAGUUGAGAAGCUUGCUGGAGGUAUCAGAAGUGCGAAUGCUGACAUGAGUAACGACAAUGGGUGUGAAAAACACCCACGCCGAAAGACCAAGGGUUCCUGCGCAACGUUAAUCGACGCAGGGUUAGUCGGUUCCUAAGGCGAGGCUGAAAAGCGUAGUCGAUGGGAAACAGGUUAAUAUUCCUGUACUUCUGGUUACUGCGAUGGAGGGACGGAGAAGGCUAGGCCAGCUUGGCGUUGGUUGUCCAAGUUUAAGGUGGUAGGCUGAAAUCUUAGGUAAAUCCGGGGUUUCAAGGCCGAGAGCUGAUGACGAGUCGUCUUUUAGAUGACGAAGUGGUUGAUGCCAUGCUUCCAAGAAAAGCUUCUAAGCUUCAGGUAACCAGGAACCGUACCCCAAACCGACACAGGUGGUCGGGUAGAGAAUACCAAGGCGCUUGAGAGAACUCGGGUGAAGGAACUAGGCAAAAUGGCACCGUAACUUCGGGAGAAGGUGCGCCGGCUAGGGUGAAGGAUUUACUCCGUAAGCUCUGGCUGGUCGAAGAUACCAGGCCGCUGCGACUGUUUAUUAAAAACACAGCACUCUGCAAACACGAAAGUGGACGUAUAGGGUGUGACGCCUGCCCGGUGCCGGAAGGUUAAUUGAUGGGGUUAGCGCAAGCGAAGCUCUUGAUCGAAGCCCCGGUAAACGGCGGCCGUAACUAUAACGGUCCUAAGGUAGCGAAAUUCCUUGUCGGGUAAGUUCCGACCUGCACGAAUGGCGUAACGAUGGCGGCGCUGUCUCCACCCGAGACUCAGUGAAAUUGAAAUCGCUGUGAAGAUGCAGUGUAUCCGCGGCUAGACGGAAAGACCCCGUGAACCUUUACUGUAGCUUUGCACUGGACUUUGAGCCUGCUUGUGUAGGAUAGGUGGGAGGCUUUGAAGCGUGGACGCCAGUUCGCGUGGAGCCAUCCUUGAAAUACCACCCUGGCAUGCUUGAGGUUCUAACUCUGGUCCGUGAUCCGGAUCGAGGACAGUGUAUGGUGGGCAGUUUGACUGGGGCGGUCUCCUCCUAAAGAGUAACGGAGGAGUACGAAGGUGCGCUCAGACCGGUCGGAAAUCGGUCGCAGAGUAUAAAGGCAAAAGCGCGCUUGACUGCGAGACAGACACGUCGAGCAGGUACGAAAGUAGGUCUUAGUGAUCCGGUGGUUCUGUAUGGAAGGGCCAUCGCUCAACGGAUAAAAGGUACUCCGGGGAUAACAGGCUGAUACCGCCCAAGAGUUCAUAUCGACGGCGGUGUUUGGCACCUCGAUGUCGGCUCAUCACAUCCUGGGGCUGAAGCCGGUCCCAAGGGUAUGGCUGUUCGCCAUUUAAAGUGGUACGCGAGCUGGGUUUAGAACGUCGUGAGACAGUUCGGUCCCUAUCUGCCGUGGACGUUUGAGAUUUGAGAGGGGCUGCUCCUAGUACGAGAGGACCGGAGUGGACGAACCUCUGGUGUUCCGGUUGUCACGCCAGUGGCAUUGCCGGGUAGCUAUGUUCGGAAAAGAUAACCGCUGAAAGCAUCUAAGCGGGAAACUUGCCUCAAGAUGAGAUCUCACUGGGAACUUGAUUCCCCUGAAGGGCCGUCGAAGACUACGACGUUGAUAGGCUGGGUGUGUAAGCGUUGUGAGGCGUUGAGCUAACCAGUACUAAUUGCCCGUGAGGCUUGACCAU